rnacentral:rRNA from 1 species
GGAGUCUGGUCCGUGUCUCAGUACCAGUGUGGGGGAUAAGCCUCUCAGCUCCCCUAGACAUCGUCGGCUUGGUGGGCCGUUGCCCCGCCAACUACCUAAUGUCACGCAUGCCCAUCCCGCACCACCGAAGCUUUAGUAUCAAGACCAUGCGGCCUCAAUACGCCAUGGGAUAUUAGUGGAAAUUUCUCUCCGUUAUCCCCCUGUGCGGGGCAGGUUGCAUACGCGUUACGCACCCGUGCGCCGGUCGCCGGCAGUGUAUUGCUACACCCCGCUGCCCCUCGACUUGCAUGUGUUAAGCCUGCCGCUAGCGUUCAUC